rnacentral:rRNA from 1 species
CACGUAAGGUGCGAGCGUUGUUCGGAAUUAUUGGGCGUAAAGGGCAUGCAGGCGGCAUUGCAAGCCUGGCGUGAAAUGCAGGGGCUCAACUCCUGCGCUGCGCCGGGAACUGUGAAGCUUGAGUUUCUGAGGGGCAGCCGGAAUUCCACAUGUAGGGGUGAAAUCUGUAGAUAUGUGGAGGAACACCAAUGGCGAAGGCAGGCUGCCAGCGGAUGACUGACGCUGAGGUGCGAAGGUGCGGGGAGCGAACAGG